rnacentral:misc_RNA from 1 species
UCCGCCUUGGAGGCGGCAGUCUCCUGAGAAAAAACAACACAGGAUGAGGGUUGCGCUCGUUUGCUGACUUAACAGUACACCUCAAGGCACGAGCUGACGACGACCGUGCAGCGCCUGUCUUUAGAUUCCUUGCGGCACUCAACUAUUUCUAGUCGAUUUCUAAGAUGUCAAGCCUGGGUGAGGUGCUUCGCUUAGUAUCGAAUUAAACCCCAUGCUCCACCGCUUGUGUGGGUCCCCGUCUAUUCCUUUGAGUUUUAGUCUUGCGACCGUACUUCCCAGGCGGUGUGCUUACCGCGUAAGCUUAGGCACAGAGACAGAUUGAACGUCCCUACACCGAGCACACAUCGUUUAGGGCGUGGACUA